GAAUUUUUUGUCAUCUUCCCACAAAAGUAAAAGGACAAUGACAACCUAACUAUUUUAGCUGAGGGCACAAAAGGCUGUGAUGAAUACAGGGUUUUUUUUACAUUUUAGCAGAGAUUUUCUCCUCAAUGCUUCAACUCGAAGAAGGGGUCCAAAAUCUGUGCGAGGACACUGUGAGGGGUCUGCAGAGAUAAGCUUCAUCUUGGUAGCAGUGAGAAUGAUUAUGGGGAAGGACAUUGCAUCAGGAAAGCCCUGGGAGUCUGAUAACUGAAGACGCGCAGUGAUGGAAAGAGGGAUACCUAAAAUGUCAGAGUGGGCUCCACAUCUAAAGUGGGGCUUGAACUCACAACCCCGAGACUAAGAGUCACACGCUCCACCGCCUGAGCCAGCCAGGUGCUCCUGCCAGUCUGACUUUUCAUAAGAAAGGGCAAAAUGAAAAAUUUUGUCUUUAACCAAUAAAAGGCAUUCUGACUGGUACAUCUAAAAUAUAAUUAUUUCACAGUAAUUUUUCUAGGAGUUAGAUAUAACUCGGGUGCAGUAUUUCUCCUGUUCCUUUAAAUAGUGAUUUAUUUAGAGGAAGUAACAUUGGCAGCAAAAGCUCUAGUUUUCUCUGGGGGAAUAGUGUUGGUUGGGGAGGACAGAGAAGGAGAGGGGAGGAGAGAAGAGGGCAGGUUAAGAGAACCAAAGCAGAGCUGAAACCAUAGCAAAAAUCUGCUAGGAUAGGUCUAGCAGAAAACCAAAAGC